rnacentral:rRNA from 1 species
UAAAGAUUUUUUGGUCAAGGAUGGGGUUGCGUAGCAUUAGCUAGUUGGCGGGGUAACGGCCCACCAAGGCGACGAUGCUUAGGGGAGCUGAGAGGCUGGUCCCCCACACGGGCACUGAGAUACGGGCCCGACUCCUACGGGAGGCAGCAGUAGGGAAUAUUGGGCAAUGGGAGCAAUCCUGACCCAGCCAUGCCGCGUGCAGGAUGAAGGCUUUCUGAGUCGUAAACUGCUUUUGCCAGGGAAGAAUAAGGCCCAUGCGUGGGUCGACGACGGUACCUGGUGAAUAAGCACCGGCUAACUCCGUGCCAGCAGCCGCGGUAAUACGGAGGGAGCUAGCGUUAUUCGGAAUUACUGGGCGUAAAGCGCACGUAGGCGGCGAUUUAAGUCAGAGGUGAAAGCCCGGGGCUCAACCCCGGAACUGCCUUUGAGACUGGAUUGCUAGAAUCUUGGAGAGGCGAGC